CCCUCAGUAACGGCGAGUGAAGCGGGAAUAGCCCAGCACCAAUCGGCUGUCUCUUGGGCAGAUCGAACUGUGGUGUUAGGGACGGUCCAAGUUCGUCUUCGGACGCCCAAGUUCGCUUGAACGCGGCCACGCCCAGAGAGGGUGCCAGGCCCGUAAGGCGUCCGGUACGGCACCGCGGACCCGUUCUUAGAGUCGGGUGUUUGAAUUGCACCCAAAGCUGGUGGUAAACUCCAUCUAAGGCUAAAUACUGGCACGAGUCCGAUAGCGAACAAGUACCGUGAGGGAAAGUUGAAAAAACUUUGAAGAGAGAGUUCAACAGUACGUGAAACCGUCCAGAGGCAAACGGAAGGACCGCAUUGUCCGCACGUCGAUUCAGUCCGUCUGCCUGGCGGAACGUCUCCGGCUCAUCCCUCUCGGGAGCGUCCGGACUUCUGUCGCUCGGCGCGCCGUACUUACGACGUGCGGAGCGCCAUACCGGUUUGCGGCGGACCAGCCCGGCAAGGUGAGACUGUUCGGCGUCCGUCAUACAGGCCCGGGAUCGCCGCCCGUCCGCGUCCGAGGAAACCGUUAUCGGUUCGCAUCUGCUGGCGUGUUCGUCGUCCCUUGCGAGACUGGAGUGCCCGAUACCGUGGUUCG
rnacentral:rRNA from 1 species